AGCGAACGCUGGCGGUAGGCCUAACACAUGCAAGUCGAACGGCAGCACAGUAAGAGCUUGCUCUUACGGGUGGCGAGUGGCGGACGGGUGAGGAAUACAUCGGAAUCUACUUUUUCGUGGGGGAUAACGUAGGGAAACUUACGCUAAUACCGCAUACGACCUACGGGUGAAAGCAGGGGAUCUUCGGACCUUGCGCGAUUGAAUGAGCCGAUGUCGGAUUAGCUAGUUGGCGGGGUAAAGGCCCACCAAGGCGACGAUCCGUAGCUGGUCUGAGAGGAUGAUCCGCCCACCCGGGACUUGAGCACGGGCCCGACUCCUAACGGAGGCAGCAGUGGGGAAUAUUGGACAAUGGGCGCAAGCCUGAUCCAGCCAUACCGCGUGGGUGAAGAAGGCCUUCGGGUUGUAAAGCCCUUUUGUUGGGAAAGAAAAGCAGCAGGUUAAUACCCCGCUGUUCUGACGGUACCCAAAGAAUAAGCACCGGCUAACUUCGUG
rnacentral:rRNA from 1 species